CGUUGGUGAACCAGCGGAGGGAU
rnacentral:rRNA from 2 species